rnacentral:tRNA from 1 species
CGCGGGGUGGAGCAGCCCGGUAGCUCGCCAGGCUCAUAACCUGGAGGUCAUAGGUUCAAAUCCUGUCCCCGCAACCA